GACGGAGGAUGCAAGUGUUAUCCGGAAUCACUGGGCGUAAAGCGUCUGCAGGUGGUCAAAUAAGUCAACUGUUAAAUCUUGAGGCUCAACCUCAAAAUCGCAGUCGAAACUAUUCGACUAGAGUAUAGUAGGGGUAAAGGGAAUUUCCAGUGGAGCGGUGAAAUGCGUAGAGAUUGGAAAGAACACCGAUGGCGAAGGCACUUUACUGGGCUAUUACUAACACUGAGAGACGAAAGCUAGGGUAGCAAAUGGG
rnacentral:rRNA from 1 species